GCCUGUUUAUCAAAAACAUCGCUCCUCGUAAUAUAUAAUUGGGGAGUCGGACCUGCCCAGUGAAAAUUUUUAACGGCCGCGGUACUCUGACCGUGCAAAGGUAGCAUAAUCAUUUGCCUUAUAAUUGAAGGCUAGUAUGAAUGGUUUGACGAGAAUAUAACUGUCUCUUCCUAAUUAACUAGAAAUUUAUGUUUAGGUGAAGAAGCCUAAAUGUAAUUAAAAGACAAGAAGACCCUAUCGAGCUUGAAACAAAUUAAUGGGCCGAUAACAAUAACUGAUAAAAGUUUUACCUAUUAAAUAUUUUGGUUGGGGCGACUAAGGAACAAACGAAGCUUCCUUAUAUAAAAAUGAGUUAACUAACAAUGAUCCAAAAAAUUUUGAUUAAUGAAAUUAGUUACCGUAGGGAUAACAGCAUUAUCUUUUUUGAGAGCUCUAAUCGAAAAAAAGGUUUGUGACCUCGAUGUUGGACCAGAAUAUCCCAAAGGUGUAGCAGCCUUUAAAGGUUGGUCUGUUCGACCAUUAAAAUUCUACGUGAUCUGAGUUCA
rnacentral:rRNA from 1 species